rnacentral:rRNA from 1 species
GUGGGGAAUAUUGGACAAUGGGCGAAAGCCUGAUCCAGCCAUGCCGCGUGUGUGAAGAAGGUCUUCGGAUUGUAAAGCACUUUAAGUUGGGAGGAAGGGCAGUAAGUUAAUACCUUGCUGUUUUGACGUUACCGACAGAAUAAGCACCGGCUAACUUCGUGCCAGCAGCCGCGGUAAUACGAAGGGUGCAAGCGUUAAUCGGAAUUACUGGGCGUAAAGCGCGCGUAGGUGGUUUUGUAAGUUGGAGGUGAAAUCCCCGGGCUCAACCUGGGAACUGCAUCCAAAACUGCAUGACUAGAGUACGGUAGAGUGUAGUGUAAUUUCCUGUGUAGCGGUGAAAUGCGUAGAUAUAGGAAGGAACACCAGUGGCGAAGGCGACUACCUGGACUGAUACUGACACUGAGGUGCGAAAGCGUGGGGAGCAAACAGGAUUAGAAACCCCAGUAGUCC